AUGCUCCGGCACCGGUGCUGCGUCCUCACUCAGCUCCUCUCGUUUCCCUCCGCCUCUUCCACCUCCCAGAUCCACCGCCUCAUCUCCGCCGCAGCGCCCGCCCCUAGCUUCGCCGUGCAGGACUACCUCGUCGCCAGCUGCGGCCUCUCCCGAGCGCAGGCACUCAAGGCCUCCGCCAAGCUCUCCCACCUCAAAUCCCCCACCAAGCCCGACGCCGUGCUCUCCUUCCUCGCCGGCCACGGCUUCUCCAGCUCUGACGUCGCCACCGUCGUCGCGGGAGACCCCAAGAGGGUGGUCAAGCCCAAUGUCGCGACCCUGCGGGACUUGGGGCUGGCUGAUUGCGACAUUGCCAAGCUGUGCAUCCCUAAUCCAUGGCUGCUCACAACCAAUGUAGAAUCCAUCCGGGCAAUGGUGUCAUGCGCUGAAAGUCUUGGUGUGCCCCGUGGAUCUCGGAUAUUCAGGCAUGCCGUGUCUGCUGUUGCGUACCUCAGCGAGGAGAAGAUCGCCACCAAAGUGGGGUACUUGAAGAAGACCUUUAGGUGGUCAGAUGCCGAGGUCAGCAUUGCUGUGUCCAAGUUUCCAAUCUUGCUGACAAGGUCUAAGGACUCUCUGCAGAGCAGAUCAGAGUUCCUCGUCUCUGAGGUGGGGCUGGAACCGGCAUACAUUGCUCAUCGUCCGGUAUUGCUCUCUUACAGCCUGGAGGGCCGGCUCAGGCCCCGGUACCAUGUUGUAAAGUUUCUCAAGGAAAAUGAAUUGCUAGAUUGCGACCGGGACUACUAUUCUGCAGUAAUGCGGACCGAGAAGGUAUUCAUGGAGAAGUACAUAUGCCCUCACAUGGAAGCUGCACCGCACCUCGCUGAAGACUAUGCGGAAGCUUGCAGAGGCGAAGUGCCGACUAGAUUCAGAUUUGCAUGA
rnacentral:rRNA from 1 species